GCAGGACUGAAGAAAGAAUAAUUCCCCACGAUCGACGGGGAAAUGGCUAUUUUGCUCCUUAUUUGACUAAGUUUUCUUUUCUUUUCUUUUCUUUUCUUUUUUUUUUUUUUUUUUCUUUAUUAAAUCAUUAUGUUUAACUCCAUUAAGGUUAGAGUGAAUCUGAAGUUACACGUGUACAGGCGCACACAGCACACCCUAAAUAGCUUAUUGCAUAAUCCCACGUAGCGUGUGCAGUAAUGUAGCAUGCAGUGGUCUGCUAGGAUCCCACACUGGACUUUUGUUUUAUGCAAGAAGGAGAAGAAGAAGGAAAAAAAAAUAGCUUUCAGUGCUGCCUUUUCUUGACUUUCAAAGGGUGAUUUUUGGUAGUGAGUAUUGAGCACAGCAUGAAGUGCUACAAAAUGUUUUCCUACUAUUGCAUCCAGGACUGAGGAGAGACAAUUUAUAUUUGUGAGCUGGUCCUGCCCAUCGCGGUGCGUGGAAGUGUUAGAAAAUAGAUUGCGGUGUUAUCCAGACCUAAGAUCUCUCCCAUGGGGUAAUUGCUGUCCUACUGUGUGCAGACUUAAACCAUGAGGUGACAUAAAAUAAAAGGACCCUUUCCUGGUAACAUUGAACAUCAGCUGGAGUGCGGGAGGAGCUGCUUCGCAUUAGAGAACCUGCUGAUGACUCCAGUAUGACUCCACGCAGGCAACGACAGAAAAACCUUCCCUGACUGCAUCCCUCCAUACUGCCACAUGACAGAAAUGUUGGCUGGAAAGGCGCUCCGGAGGUCUCUCAUCCAUCCAACCUCCCACUCAAAGCAGGAAUUUACCCAUCUUCAAAGCAACUCUCUCCCACCAGCAGAGCAAUAACUUCAGGAUGUUUUACAAUACACCACACCUCCUGUCCUUUGAGGAUCUGAUGACCCAGAUACAAACAAGAAGCUGAACACCUAUUAUGGGAACUGGGAGCAUUAAGUCUUGUGAUUAGAUGCUCAAAAUCCCCACCAGACAGUUCCUUAAACCUACAGUCUGGAGGCACCUGCAGUAUUAGCAGCAAAGCUCUUCAGGCCCAUGAAGUUCUGCUCCUGAGACAGCCAGAAGCAACUGGCUGCCUGUCUCCAACUCAGGUCUCAUUCACAUACAUGAAAAUAAACUAUUCUGUCUCUCCCAGGCUGAAGGCUCAUGGUUUCUCAGUGCACUUCCUUCAAAUCUACCCGAUGCGCAGCAUGAUUUAUGCACCAAGCAGAUAUGUAAACUCCCACUCAUUCACCUACACAUGC